rnacentral:rRNA from 1 species
GCGUGCAGGAUGAAGGCCUUCGGGUUGUAAACUGCUGUCACCCGGGACGAAGAAUUGACGGUACCGGGAGAGGAAGCCACGGCUAACUACGUGCCAGCAGCCGCGGUAAUACGUAGGUGGCGAGCGUUGUUCGGAUUUAUUGGGCGUAAAGGGUCUGUAGGGGGUUGAUUAAGUCUGAUGUGAAAUCCCGCAGCUCAACUGCGGAACUGCAUUGGAGACUGGUUGACUAGAGUUCUGGAGAGGCAAGCGGAAUUCCAGGUGUAGCGGUGGAAUGCGU